UUUUAAAGCACUUGACAUCGAUGUCAUUAUCGAAGUUGUUUUCUUGACACCAAACUUAAGAAAUACAAAACCUGUAGAAAAAAUUUAGAGAUUGGCACAAAGAAUAGCCAGUUACUCUUAUUUGAUACUAGUAUAAUGACAACUACUACUUUGAAUUUCCAAACUACACAAAAGCAAAUAUUGUUUACAGGAAUGCUAAAAUUAUAGCAAUCAAAACUAAAUUCAAUCAUGAAUGUAUGUUAUUUAACAUCCUUAGAGGUAUAAAUCAGAAAAAAAAAUAGCAACGUCAGCUUAGAUCUUUUCAAUCUUGAAGCGUAAAGUUUUCACCCUCUACUUCAAUUCGUUUUUUUUGUUAUUGAAAACGACUUGCAACUCUUGUUUGACAUACGAAAUUUCGAAUAGAGGAAAUUAAAUACUGAGGAAAUAAAAAGUGGAGAGGAGAAUAAAUUCAGAAAAUGACAGGUAGGAAAACAAAUAGAAAGGGGGACCAGAAAAGAGAGAAAAUGAAGAAGAAAGGGAACGCAUUUGCAUGAU